CAGGGACAAGAGGGUGAGACGGAGUGAGACAGGGACAAGAAGGUGAGACGGAGUGAGACAGGGACAAGAAGGUGAGACGGAGUGAGACAGGGACAAGAAGGUGAGACGGAGUGAGACAGGGACAAGAAGGUGAGACGGAGUGAGACAGGGACAAGAAGGUGAGACGGAGUGAGACAGGGACAAGAAGGUGAGACGGAGUGAGACAGGGACAAGAAGGUGAGACAGGGACAAGAGGGUGAGACGGAGUGAGACAGGGACAAGAGGGUGAGACGGAGUGAGACAGGGACAAGAAGGUGAGACAGGGACAAGAAGGUGAGACGGAGUGAGACAGGGACAAGAAGGUGAGACGGAGUGAGACAGGGACAAGAAGGUGAGACGGAGUGAGACAGGGACAAGAGGGUGAGACGGAGUGAGACAGGGACAAGAAGGUGAGACGAAGUGAGACAGAGACAAGAAGGUGAGACAGGGACAAGAAGGUGAGACGGAGUGAGACAGGGACAAGAAGGUGAGACGGAGUGAGACAGGGACAAGAAGGUGAGACAGGGACAAGAAGGUGAGACGGAGUGAGACAGGGACAAGAGGGUGAGACAGGGACAAGAAGGUGAGACGGAGUGAGACGGGGACAAGAAGGUGAGACGGAGUGAGACAGGGACAAAAAGGUGAGACGGAGUUAGACAGGGACAAGAGGGUGAGACGGAGUGAGACAGGGACAAGAAGGUGAGACGGAGUGAGACAGGGACAAGAGGGUGAGACGGAGUGAGACAGGGACAAGAAGGUGAGACAGGGACAAGAAGGUGAGACGGAGUGAGACAGGGACAAGGGGGUGAGACGGAGUGAGACAGGGACAAGAAGGUGAGACGGAGAGAGACAGGGACAAGAGGGUGAGACGGAGUGAGACAGGGACAAGAAGGUGAGACAGGGACAAGAAGGUGAGACGGAGUGAGACAGGGACAAGAGGGUGAGACAGGGACAAGAAGGUGAGACGGAGUGAGACAGGGACAAGAAGGUGAGACAGGGACAAGAAGGUGAGACGGGGACAAGAAGGUGAGACGAGUGAGACAGGGACAAGAAGGUGAGACGGAGUGAGACAGGGACAAGAAGGUGAGACGGAGUGAGACAGGGACAAGAAGGUGAGACGGAGUGAGACGGAGUGAGACAGGGACAAGAGGGUGAGACGGAGUGAGACAGGGACAAGAAGGUGAGACGGAGUGAGACGGAGUGAGACAGGGACAAGAAGGUGAGACGGAGUGAGACAGGGACAAGAGGGUGAGACGGAGUGAGACAGGGACAAGAAGGUG